rnacentral:rRNA from 1 species
UACGAAGGGGGCUAGCGUUGCUCGGAAUCACUGGGCGUAAAGCGCACGUAGGCGGAUUGUUAAGUCAGGGGUGAAAUCCUGGAGCUCAACUCCAGAACUGCCUUUGAUACUGACGGUCUUGAGUUCGGGAGAGGUGAGUGGAACUGCGAGUGUAGAGGUGAAAUUCGUAGAUAUUCGCAAGAACACCAAUGGCGAAGGCAGCUCGCUGGGACGGUACUGACGCUGAGACGCGAAAGCGUGGGGAGCAAACAGG